AUCGUAUUUGAUAAUUAUGUUUUAUUUUACUUACAAUGUAUGUCUUAAGCUUGUGUUUAUUGGUAACUGUAUCUAUUAUCGACCCUUCAUCGAAAUUACAUACUCACUUACGUAAUCAUUUAACUAUCUCUGAGCAAAUUAAUAGGUCUUCAAAAACACUUAACAGUCAUUUAAGUUAUUAAUUUGAGCUAUGUCGGUGUUUGGAUGGACAUUUCGGGCAAAAGAACAAACAAUUUC
rnacentral:lncRNA from 1 species